UACGAAGGGGGCUAGCGUUGUUCGGAUUUACUGGGCGUAAAGCGCACGUAGGCGGAUACUUAAGUCAGGGGUGAAAUCCCGGGGCUCAACCCCGGAACUGCCUUUGAUACUGGGUAUCUCGAGUUCGAGAGAGGUGAGUGGAAUUCCGAGUGUAGAGGUGAAAUUCGUAGAUAUUCGGAGGAACACCAGUGGCGAAGGCGACUUACUGGACGACUGUUGACGCUGAGGUGCGAAAGCGUGGGGAGCAAACAGG
rnacentral:rRNA from 1 species